rnacentral:lncRNA from 1 species
GCUCUGUCUCCGUUCUCCGUCUCUCUCAGCUCUCAGGAAAAGUAAAAAAUGAUAGAAGAUGAUAAAAGGUUGCAGAGAAUAAGUUCUUGGGGAGUAUUUAUAUGCCCUAGGUCUUGUAGCUCUCAAAAAUACCCAAAAUCACUAAAAAAACGAAAUUUGGGCGGAAAAAACGGCGACUCGCGCGGCCGCGCCUCCAGCCCGCGCGACGAAACAGAACUCCUGACAGCUUUGCGCAGUGAUUUUGUUUUGGCUUGUUCUCCCUCGUCCGAACUCCGAUUGAUGAUCCGUUUGCGCUCACGAACUCCUAUCGAGACGAACUACAACUUGUAUUUCAUCCAAUUCUUCCAAAUUCUGCUUCAUUAUUUCUGAAAAUUCGUUCAAACACAAACAAGUAACAAGUUCUUGACCAUAAACGAAUAUAAACUCAAAUAGACCAUCAAACACACAAAAUCCUCACAACUAAGCAUAAAAAUUGAUACACCAAGAGAUAAAAAUGCAUGUUUAUCAACCCCCCAAACUUGAACUAUUGUCCGUCCUCGGACAAGACAAAGAUGAACCAAGAAUGAAUCAACAAGAGCGCAGAGAAAUGUGGAUAACAUUGUGGCUUCAGAUUUGUCAACAAAAUUACCAACAUGCAUUUGUAUCUCCAAUCAUCAAGAUAUCACACUCAUGACAAACUCAAAUUAUGGUCUCAAUGAAUUGCAAUCCUCACCAAAAAGAUAAAGAAUAUAACAACUCUCAACUCUCAAGUGUAUCAAUUCAAAAAGGACGUGUAUACGCUCAGUUCAAGCUAAACAAGUACUCAUCCAUAAGCUUGUCAAUUGUCUCACCUCUCCACCACUAAAUGUGUGCUCCUAUACCAAGAUCAAAAAGGUCUUUAUUGAAGGUUGUAAUGUAGGCUCUUUGGUAAGGUAUGAUAAAUUUGGCUGAGUGACUAAACGAUACUCCUCAAUGUAGCUCGAUCACCAACCUUGUAACAUUCUUAAACCAUACCAUCUUCCACUUCUCACAAAACCAGAUUUUUCAAUGCGAGAAAUCAUCACAACUCAACAAUUAUUUCUCAUAACAUUAUGUCUCUCUAAUGCAUCCUAUGUACCCAUUUUUUCAAUUCUUUUGCUCUCUCUUUUCUUUUCUUUUCUUUUUUUUUUCUUUAACAAUUUGUAGGGUACUAGGAUUUUCAAUUUGAAACCACAAAACAUAACUCAUGAUCAUUCAUCUCCACAAAUCAACUAUUCCAUAUUAACAAUUUCCAAGCUCCCACCCAUAGCUAAAUCAACGAAUAUGGAAAAAUAAGGCUCAAAGGGGGUGAACUAGGAUCAUAUAAAGAUAUAGGACAAAUAUGGGAUAAACAGGCUAGCAAAGAUGGCCUUCUAUCAUCUCAAAGUUAUUAAGCACACUAUGUGACCUCGAGGGAGAAACCAAGACAAGUUCUAGUGAGACACAUGCAUGCUCGAACAAUCACUCAAGAAUAAGAAAUAAGACUGUAAAAAUGGUGACAGUCAAAGCUCAAAUCUCACAGCUUAUUUCAUUGAUUGCAA